rnacentral:rRNA from 1 species
CUACGGGGGGCACCAGUCGAGAAUAUUCCACAAUGGGCGAAAGCCUGAUGGAGCGACGCCGCGUGCAGGAAGAAGGCCUUCGGGUUGUAAACUGCGGUAGUAGAUUAAUAAUUUCGAUGAAUGAUCUACGGAAAGAGGUUGGUAACUACGUGCCAGCACCCGCGGUAAUACGUAGACCUCAAGCGUUAUCCGGAUUUAUUGGGCGUAAAGGGUGUGUAGGGGGUUUUGUAAGUCAGAUGUUAAAUUGCGGAGCUUAACUUCGUAACCGCAUUUGAUACUGCGAGACUAGAGGGUGCAAGGGUAUGCGGAACGCACGGUGUAGGGGUGACAUCCGUUGAUAUCGUGCGGAACACCAAAGGCGAAGGCAGCAUACUGGGGCAUUCCUGACCCUGAGACACGAAAGCGUGGGGAGCAAAAAGGAUUAGAUACCCCCGUACUC